ensembl:misc_RNA Metazoa_SRP Metazoan signal recognition particle RNA
GCUGAGCAUGGUGACUCAUGCCUGUAAUCCCAGCACAUUUGGAGGCUGAGGCGGGAGGAUUGCUUGAGCCCAGGAGUUCAAGGCUGCAGUGAGCUAUGUUCACACCACUGCACUCCAGCCUGGGUGACAGAGUGAGAUCCUGCCUCAG